GAGUCUUUUUAUUAUUUGACUCAGAGGGCAUGUUGAGUUCCUCAGAAGUCUUUUGAGUUUGUUUAGGUGAUUCUCGUACUUGAAAGCACUGAAGUUGUCAAGGACACCAUGCUUUUUCGCAUCUUCUGCAAGAUGUACAAGGCAGUGUGCAUUGUAGGACAAGAAUUGUGGACCAUACAGUUGACCAAAGAUGGAGAUUCCCACAAAAAGUAGCAAGAAAUUUUUGUACACCUCUGUGUUAAGAAGAUCUUUCAUCAUGACAGCCUACAAGUCAGAGGACCCAUCUUCAGCCACAAGAGAAGAAGCAGUCUCAUGAUUCCGAGGCACACAAGGUGCAUGUAGUCGAGGGGGAAACCAGAGACCAUGUUUAGGUA